AUGUGUCCAGCUCUGUGUCUGUGAAGAGUGACCAGUCAAAGGGUGUAGGACCAUACUUCAGUGAAGAAACAUCACGAACCAAACGGUAUUUGAUGUGUUUCUUAUUUUUCUUUAAACAUAGACUGUGUCAGAAAGUGUAUCAGUGAAUAAUUAUCAUAAAACUAAUAGUCCAUAAAUUUAUCACAGUAUUGUUUUUCUCUUUGCUAAAAUGAUUACAUGAUAUUUUGGUCGUGUUUUUUUCCUAAAAAUGCAGUAUUUUGAUUCAUUUUAUUUGCUAUCAGGCUUCAGUAUGAAACAUUAGAUCCAGAUUUACAGUCUCACAGGAACCGCAAGAAGUUUACAGACAGUCUCCUGCAGAUCUUCCAGGAUCUUGAGAGCAAAAUAAUCAAAUUUCUAAAGAAAGAACUGGAAAAGUUUAAGAAAAUAUUACAAAAAGAGGACAUGCAAUACUUUGUGAAGGACUUUAAUGAGAACAGAUGCAGUAUGAAAGAAGCAGCUCUUGAUCUCACGCUCUACUUCCUGAGAGAGAUGAAGCAAGAUGAAGCUGCUGAUACUCUAGAAAAUGAGCUGUUCUUCAUUCAUC
ensembl:lncRNA